rnacentral:rRNA from 1 species
GACGAACGCUGGCGGCGUGCUUAACACAUGCAAGUCGAACGAAGUGGCGAACGGGUGAGUAACGCGUAAUCCACCUGCCCUUCAGGGGGGGACAACAGUUGGAAACGACUGCUAAUACCGCAUACUGAAGGAGGGGAUUGCGUCUGCUUGGCUAGUUGGAGGGGUAACGGCCCACCAAGGCGAUGAUCAGUAGCCGGUCUGAGGGGAUGGACGGCCACAUUUGGACUGUGACACGGCCCAGACCCCCACGGGAGGCAGCAGGGGGGAAUUUUUCGCAAUGGACGAAAGUCUGACGGAGCAACGCCGGGUUAGUGAUGACGGCCUUCGGGUUGUAAAGCUCUGUUAAUCGGGACGCGGUACCGGAAUAGAAAGCCACGGCUAACUACGUGCCAGCAGCCGCGGUAAUAC